rnacentral:ncRNA from 1 species
GAGUUCGAUCCUGGCUCAGGAUGAACACUGGAGGCAUGCUUAACACAUGCAAGUUGAACGAGAAGUGGUGUUUCCAGUGGCAAAUGGGUGAGUAACGCGUAAGAACCUGUCCUUGGGAGGGGAACAACAACUGGAAAAGGUUGCUAAUACCCCAUAGGCUGAGGAGCAAAAGGAGAAAUCCGCCCGAGGAGGGGCUCGCUUCUGAUUAGCUAGUUGGUUAGGUAAUAUCUUACCAAGGCGAUGAUCAGUAGCUGGUCCAAGAGGAUGAUCAGCCACACUGGGACUGAGACACUGCCCAGACUCCUAUAGGAGAUAGUAGUGGGGAAUUUUCUACAAUGGGCGAAAGCCUGACGGAGCAAUGCCGCGCGGAGGUGGAAGGCCUACGGGUCGUCAACUUCUUUUCUCGAAGAAGAAAGAAGGAUGGUAUCUGAUGUAGGGUGGAACCCUAGAUGGUCGAUCUUUCAUGAAAGGAGUGGAUCC